rnacentral:rRNA from 1 species
GAUGAACGCUGGCGGCGUGCCUAAUACAUGCAAGUCGAGCGAACAGAUGAGGAGCUUGCUCCUCUGACGUUAGCGGCGGACGGGUGAGUAACACGUGGAUAACCUACCUAUAAGACUGGGAUAACUUCGGGAAACCGGAGCUAAUACCGGAUAAUAUAUUGAACCGCAUGGUUCAAUAGUGAAAGACGGUUUUGCUGUCACUUAUAGAUGGAUCCGCGCCGCAUUAGCUAGUUGGUAAGGUAACGGCUUACCAAGGCAACGAUGCGUAGCCGACCUGAGAGGGUGAUCAGCCACACUGGAACUGAGACACGGUCCAGACUCCUACGGGAGGCAGCAGUAGGGAAUCUUCCGCAAUGGGCGAAAGCUUGACGGAGCAACGCCGCGUGAGUGAUGAAGGUCUUCGGAUCGUAAAACUCUGUUAUUAGGGAAGAACAAAUGUGUAAGUAACUAUGCACGUCUUGACGGUACCUAAUCAGAAAGCCACGGCUAACUACGUG